AUUGAACGCUGGCGGUAUGCUUAACACAUGCAAGUCGAACGGUAACAGGCCUUCGGGCGCUGACGAGUGGCGGACGGGUGAGUAACGCGUAGGAAUCUGCCUCAUAGUGGGGGACAACGUGGGGAAACUCACGCUAAUACCGCAUACGCCCUACGGGGGAAAGCGGGGGAUCUUCGGACCUCGCGCUAUGAGAUGAGCCUGCGUUAGAUUAGCUAGUUGGUGAGGUAACGGCUCACCAAGGCGACGAUCAGUAGCUGGUCUGAGAGGAUGAUCAGCCACAUUGGGACUGAGACACGGCCCAAACACCUACGGGAGGCAG
rnacentral:rRNA from 1 species